UAAAUAAAUAAAUAAUUAAUAUUUUACGUGUAUUUUUUUCUUUUUUGUACACACUAACAGUCUGGCAUCUUAUGCCUUAUGCGGUGUGUGUGUGUGUGUGUGUGUGUGUGUGUGUGUGUGUGUGUGUGUGUGUGUGUGUGUGUGUGUGUGCGUGUUCCAAGGAAAGGGAGGCGCUUCAAUCGGUGAAAGGGUAGACGAAGAGAGGAAGGGGAAGUUACACUGCGGCUGGGUGAGUCACUUACUUUCUUGCGUUCUUUGUCCGUAACUUUCAGAAUAAUAAUGAUGUAUGUGUACUCUUGCCUUCUUUGUGGUGAGUGUAUCCUUUUUUUUAUAUUCUCUGUAUCUCUGUAUGUAUAAAUGCUGCUGUAAUUAAGUAUUUUAGUGUUUUGGGUUUAUUUUGGAAAGUAAGUAAUGUGCAUUUGAAUUAAUUUAUGCAUUGACAUUAUGACAAUCACAAAAAUGUUUCCUUUAUUUCCACUUAGCUCUGAGUGUUGUGGCGGUGGAGCCUCUCAACUUAAAUGGACAUGUUGGGAAAAAUGUUACAUUCAAAUGCUCCGACUGGAACGUUUGGGCUGGUGUAAAAUCUAAUGUUAAGUACCUUUGUGAUAAUCCAUGCUCAGAAAACAAACACAUCAUCAUUAAAGCAGAAUAUGGAAAGACUGCACAUGAGAAUAGAAUAGAGUUAACUAACAGAGCAGAAGGUUUGUUUGUGACUUUCACUAAUCUCCAAAAGUCAGACUCUAAGAAAUAUUAUUGUGGAGUGGAGAGAUUUGGCCCUGAUCCCUUGAUAGAGGUGAAUCUUAAAGUUAUAGAUGAGUCUCCCAAGAAUACUCCAGCAACAUUUGCUGUUACAAGCAGCUCCACAGUGUCUUCAAGCAGCUCAGAUAGUAUUAGUGCUAUGUCUACAUCAUACAUCAUCCAUUGUACAACAACUACUGCACCAGCAACACAAAGAUCUGGAAGUGUUCCAUUUAUGAUUGUAGGUGUCAUUCUUAUACUAACCUUACUGAUUGCCCUUCUGUACCUUAUGAGGAAGAUGGCCAAAAAACAACUUGGUAACCACCACAUAAACAGUACAGCAACAUCAGUUAGAUAA
rnacentral:lncRNA from 1 species